UACGUAGGUGGCAAGCGUUGUCCGGAAUUAUUGGGCGUAAAGGGCGCGUAGGCGGCUCGGCACGUCCGUUGUGAAAUCGCCCGGCUCAACUGGGCGGGGUCGGCGGAUACGGCCGAGCUGGAGCAAGCUAGGGGGUAAUGGAAUUCCCGGUGUAGUGGUGGAAUGCGUAGAUAUCGGGAGGAACACCAGUGGCGAAGGCGGUUACCUGGAGCUUUGCUGACGCUGAUGCGCGAAAGCGUGGGGAGCGAGUCGG
rnacentral:rRNA from 1 species